rnacentral:rRNA from 1 species
GGGUUGUGAGGUUAAGCGACUAAGCGUACACGGUGGAUGCCCUGGCAGUCAGAGGCGAUGAAGGACGUGCUAAUCUGCGAUAAGCGUCGGUAAGGUGAUAUGAACCGUUAUAACCGGCGAUUUCCGAAUGGGGAAACCCAGUGUGUUUCGACACACUAUCAUUAACUGAAUCCAUAGGUUAAUGAGGCGAACCGGGGGAACUGAAACAUCUAAGUACCCCGAGGAAAAGAAAUCAACCGAGAUUCCCCCAGUAGCGGCGAGCGAACGGGGAGGAGCCCAGAGCCUGAAUCAGUGUGUGUGUUAGUGGAAGCGUCUGGAAAGGCGCGCGAUACAGGGUGACAGCCCCGUACACAAAAAUGCACAUGCUGUGAGCUCGAUGAGUAGGGCGGGACACGUGGUAUCCUGUCUGAAUAUGGGGGGACCAUCCUCCAAGGCUAAAUACUCCUGACUGACCGAUAGUGAACCAGUACCGUGAGGGAAAGGCGAAAAGAACCCCGGCGAGGGGAGUGAAAAAGAACCUGAAACCGUGUACGUACAAGCAGUGGGAGCACAGAGCAAUCUGUGUGACUGCGUACCUUUUGUAUAAUGGGUCAGCGACUUAUAUUCUGUAGCAAGGUUAACCGAAUAGGGGAGCCGAAGGGAAACCGAGUCUUAACUGGGCGUUAAGUUGCAGGGUAUAGACCCGAAACCCGGUGAUCUAGCCAUGGGCAGGUUGAAGGUUGGGUAACACUAACUGGAGGACCGAACCGACUAAUGUUGAAAAAUUAGCGGAUGACUUGUGGCUGGGGGUGAAAGGCCAAUCAAACCGGGAGAUAGCUGGUUCUCCCCGAAAGCUAUUUAGGUAGCGCCUCGUGAAUUCAUCUCCGGGGGUAGAGCACUGUUUCGGCAAGGGGGUCAUCCCGACUUACCAACCCGAUGCAAACUGCGAAUACCGGAGAAUGUUAUCACGGGAGACACACGGCGGGUGCUAACGUCCGUCGUGAAGAGGGAAACAACCCAGACCGCCAGCUAAGGUCCCAAAGUCAUGGUUAAGUGGGAAACGAUGUGGGAAGGCCCAGACAGCCAGGAUGUUGGCUUAGAAGCAGCCAUCAUUUAAAGAAAGCGUAAUAGCUCACUGGUCGAGUCGGCCUGCGCGGAAGAUGUAACGGGGCUAAACCAUGCACCGAAGCUGCGGCAGCGACACUGUGUGUUGUUGGGUAGGGGAGCGUUCUGUAAGCCUGUGAAGGUGUACUGUGAGGUAUGCUGGAGGUAUCAGAAGUGCGAAUGCUGACAUAAGUAACGAUAAAGCGGGUGAAAAGCCCGCUCGCCGGAAGACCAAGGGUUCCUGUCCAACGUUAAUCGGGGCAGGGUGAGUCGACCCCUAAGGCGAGGCCGAAAGGCGUAGUCGAUGGGAAACAGGUUAAUAUUCCUGUACUUGGUGUUACUGCGAAGGGGGGACGGAGAAGGCUAUGUUGGCCGGGCGACGGUUGUCCCGGUUUAAGCGUGUAGGCUGGUUUUCCAGGCAAAUCCGGAAAAUCAAGGCUGAGGCGUGAUGACGAGGCACUACGGUGCUGAAGCAACAAAUGCCCUGCUUCCAGGAAAAGCCUCUAAGCAUCAGGUAACAUCAAAUCGUACCCCAAACCGACACAGGUGGUCAGGUAGAGAAUACCAAGGCGCUUGAGAGAACUCGGGUGAAGGAACUAGGCAAAAUGGUGCCGUAACUUCGGGAGAAGGCACGCUGAUAUGUAGGUGAAGUCCCUCGCGGAUGGAGCUGAAAUCAGUCGAAGAUACCAGCUGGCUGCAACUGUUUAUUAAAAACACAGCACUGUGCAAACACGAAAGUGGACGUAUACGGUGUGACGCCUGCCCGGUGCCGGAAGGUUAAUUGAUGGGGUCAGCGCAAGCGAAGCUCUUGAUCGAAGCCCCGGUAAACGGCGGCCGUAACUAUAACGGUCCUAAGGUAGCGAAAUUCCUUGUCGGGUAAGUUCCGACCUGCACGAAUGGCGUAAUGAUGGCCAGGCUGUCUCCACCCGAGACUCAGUGAAAUUGAACUCGCUGUGAAGAUGCAGUGUACCCGCGGCAAGACGGAAAGACCCCGUGAACCUUUACUAUAGCUUGACACUGAACAUUGAGCCUUGAUGUGUAGGAUAGGUGGGAGGCUUUGAAGUGUGGACGCCAGUCUGCAUGGAGCCGACCUUGAAAUACCACCCUUUAAUGUUUGAUGUUCUAACGUUGACCCGUAAUCCGGGUUGCGGACAGUGUCUGGUGGGUAGUUUGACUGGGGCGGUCUCCUCCUAAAGAGUAACGGAGGAGCACGAAGGUUGGCUAAUCCUGGUCGGACAUCAGGAGGUUAGUGCAAUGGCAUAAGCCAGCUUGACUGCGAGCGUGACGGCGCGAGCAGGUGCGAAAGCAGGUCAUAGUGAUCCGGUGGUUCUGAAUGGAAGGGCCAUCGCUCAACGGAUAAAAGGUACUCCGGGGAUAACAGGCUGAUACCGCCCAAGAGUUCAUAUCGACGGCGGUGUUUGGCACCUCGAUGUCGGCUCAUCACAUCCUGGGGCUGAAGUAGGUCCCAAGGGUAUGGCUGUUCGCCAUUUAAAGUGGUACGCGAGCUGGGUUUAGAACGUCGUGAGACAGUUCGGUCCCUAUCUGCCGUGGGCGCUGGAGAACUGAGGGGGGCUGCUCCUAGUACGAGAGGACCGGAGUGGACGCAUCACUGGUGUUCGGGUUGUCAUGCCAAUGGCACUGCCCGGUAGCUAAAUGCGGAAGAGAUAAGUGCUGAAAGCAUCUAAGCACGAAACUUGCCCCGAGAUGAGUUCUCCCUGACUCCUUGAGAGUCCUGAAGGAACGUUGAAGACGACGACGUUGAUAGGCCGGGUGUGUAAGCGCAGCGAUGCGUUGAGCUAACCGGUACUAAUGAACCGUGAGGCUUAACCUUACAACGCCGAAGGUGUUU